UAGGGAAUCUUCGGCAAUGGGGGCAACCCUGACCGAGCAACGCCGCGUGAGUGAAGAAGAUUUUCGGAUCGUAAAGCUCUGUUGUAAGUCAAGAACGAGUGUGAGAGUGGAAAGUUCACACUGUGACGGUAGCUUACCAGAAAGGGACGGCUAACUACGUG
rnacentral:rRNA from 1 species